UCUUUUUUGUGAGGGUUGAAUGUAGAAAAUGAAAGCUCCCAAUUUUGACUAAUGAUUAUCUAAUGACCAACAAAAUCCUUUGUAUAUUUAAUAAAAAUGUUAUUCAUAUUCUAUUGAUGUGAGUUUAAAUAUCAAAGUCGAUUUGAGAAUUUUAUUGGUGGAUAGUUUUUAAACAUCUCUAGAAGUACUAUUUAAAUUUUGAGGUCUAUCUAAAUUAUGGUGAGCUUUUGGAUAUUCAUAGCUUGAUUAGAACUAUUUUUCAUAAACACAAAUAAUAAAACACAACCAAUAAUGCAAUGGAGCAACCAAGCUUGCAGCAUCCCCCCAAAUUCCCCUGUUCACAGUGUUGAAGGACAGCAUUGUGAAAAAGACAUGCAAACAAAUCUUUAUCCAAAUGAGGGCUAUCCUCAAAGUUGAAAGAAAUUUAAUAAAACUUAAUAAGAGUAAGUGCAUGUAUGUAUUAAAUUUUAUUAAACGUUUCAUAUAAUAAAUCACCAAAUUUUAUUAAACGUUUCAUAUUAAUUGUACCAAUCCUAGUCUUAUAAAAAAAUCACCAAAUUAUAAAUGUUUUAUAUAUUUAUUAAAGUUGAUUGAAAUAUCUUUAAGAAAAUUCACACAAUAUUACUUUUUAAUUGUCAUUAGACAACAACAGCGAGUUUCUCCAAUUUUUUAUUUUUCCCCAUUAAAUUCUGGUAUGGUGACUGCAUUCCUUAAUUUAUGUAUGUUGUUUACCCUAACAACUGGCAUUCAAGAUAUGGUUCGAUCCAAGGAUAAGAUUUUUUAUUUUUUUGUGUGGUUGCAUCGUUGUUUGAAAAGUUUUAGCUAUAAAAGACUUGGUUCUUUAAGUGUAGCAAGUGUGACUCACCUCUAUUUCCUAACAACUUUUCUAGUGUACGGUUUAUAGUAUGGAUAAAAGUUAAUCAAGUUUUAUUGUGAAGUUUUUUUUUAGAAAAAUUUAAUGAAAGAAUCAUUUUUUAUUUUGUGAAAUAUUCAAGUCAAUGAUAUUAUGAUACAAUCAAUAUUACACAAGACAAAAAUGAAAACAAUGCAAGCAUGCCUUCAUUUUUAUAGGAGAGGAUAAUCUUCUCUAAAAAAGAGAAGUCUAUAAUCAUAGCAUUACCAUGCAACCAUGAAAAAUGAUAAGGCAUUGCUAGCGGAUUCAAAUUAGCACAUGAGCAUUAG
rnacentral:lncRNA from 1 species